CACAAACUCUUGCAGACAGGACAACUGGACUUUUGAGAGUAAAGCUGUUCCUGUUAUCAAACGCUCAAGAAGUUGUCCUUCCACCUCAUAAGGAACGUUGUGAACUCUCCAAAAAGGGCUUAGGAAUCCCAAGUCAUGAUUUGCCAGAGAGAUUCUCACUGAGAAACUACGUACAACUUUCUUGGUCCCUCCAAGAGUUUAAUAAUUAUGUAUGUCAAAGCUUUCCUAUAGUUAGUCUGAAUCUCAUUGGAUUUCAUUUGGCAAGAGCUGAUAAGUCCAAGGUCCUGAAAAAAAUUUAGGUAAAUACUCUCCUUGAGCUGAAGGCCGCAGUUGGGAGAAGCAGGGUUUAUAUUAUUCCCCAGACCAACAUUACACUGCCUUUAGAGAUCUCACAAACUGAAAGGACUCAACCCCCACCUGAAAGACUUCCACCAGCUGGUCCCGAGAC